GUCCUGGCCGUAAACGAUGGGUACUAGGUGUAGGAGGUAUCGACCCCUUCUGUGCCGGAGUUAACGCAAUAAGUACCCCGCCUGGGGAGUACGACCGCAAGGUUGAAACUCAAAGGAAUUGACGGGGCCCGCACAAGCGGUGGAGUAUGUGGUUUAAUUCGACGCAACGCGAAGAACCUUACCAGGUCUUGACAUUGAUGGACAGAACCAGAGAUGGUUCCUCUUCUUCGGAAGCCAGAAAACAGGUGGUGCACGGUUGUCGU
rnacentral:rRNA from 1 species